rnacentral:rRNA from 1 species
UACGUAGGGGGCAAGCGUUGUCCGGAUUUAUUGGGCGUAAAGAGCGUGUAGGCGGCCAGGUAGGUCUGCUGUGAAAACUCGAGGCUUAACCUCGAGCUGUCGGCGGAAACCAUCUGGCUAGAGUCCGGAAGAGGAGAAUGGAAUUCCCGGUGUAGCGGUGAAAUGCGCAGAUAUCGGGAAGAACACCCGUGGCGAAAGCGGCGCGCUGGACCACUACUGACGCUGAGGAACGAAAGCUAGGGGAGCAAACAGG